AGUUGUUUUUCUCCUGUCUUUCUUUUUUCUUUUUUUUUUCUUGGUUCCCCUCUUCUUUUUCUUCUUUCCCUAGCCAUUCCGUGGGAUCGGAAGAACAA
rnacentral:ribozyme from 12 species